rnacentral:rRNA from 1 species
UACAGAGGGGGCAAGCGUUGUUCGGAAUUACUGGGCGUAAAGAGCUCGUAGGUGGUUUGUCGCGUUGUCCGUGAAAACUCACAACUCAAUUGUGGGCGUGCGGGCGAUACGGGCAGACUGGAGUACUGCAGGGGGAGACUGGAAUUCCUGGUGUAGCGGUGGAAUGCGCAGAUAUCAGGAGGAACACCGGUGGCGAAGGCGGGUCUCUGGGCAGUAACUGACGCUGAGGAGCGAAAGCGUGGGGAGCGAACAGG